ACAUAGGAAGAAAAUGACACCUCCAAGUCAAGGAGAGAGGCCUGGAACAGAUUCUUCCCUCAGGCUCCUUAGAAGAAACCACCUCUGCUGACUCUUGAUCUUGGACUUCUCACCUCCAGAACUCUCAUUGAGAAAUCCUUUGGACUGGCAGAGUGACCUUCCUCUAGAAACUUAACUGCUUUGAUGUUAAUACUACGCUAAGGGCAAAAGACAACCUUCGCUUAACAUCCCGACCUCCAGGAUCCUGAGGCUUGUAAACCGAACGACUGCACAGCUGUACUCCACAGGCAGUAAAAUAAACAGUUCUUUGCCCAUACGUGACUGGAAGGCAACUUUACAUCUCUACGUCAGGCCUUUAUCACAUACUCGAGUCUGCGUCCCAAAGCAAAAAUGAUCAACCCCUGUCUUAACACCUGUUAGAACUGUGUGUGCUCCAGUUUCCAUCCUGACAGCCACAGGGCUCCGGAGCUAAAAUCAGAAAGUCUACCCUUUCAUAUUAACCAAACACCACAGUGUUGGGUAUUAAACACCAAACACUGAGCCUAUUAAAAAGAAGAAAAAUGUACUCCGCACAAGGGAGAUCUUUGUGGUGAUGGAAUAGCUCUGGAGCUUGAUUGCAGUUGUGGUUACAUCCAUCUACGCAUGUGAUAAAGCAGCACAGAACUACACACACACCUCGUGCUGCUGUCGAUGUCCAGGCUUUGAUAACUUAGUAGUUAAGUAAGGGGUAACUAUUGGGGGAAAGUGGAUAGAAGGUGCACAUAACCUCUCUGCACACUCUUUGCAACUUCUUGUGAUAUCUGCACUUAUUUCAAAAUAAAAUGUUUUUAAAAGUGGACCUUCUCCUGGGUAUAUCAACAUACUUGGAACAUUUUGCAUUUGGACAAGUGACAGAGCACUGGGUGUCAUACGCAAACAAUGAAUCGUGGGUCACUAC